GAGUGCGCGCGCGCGCGGCCGCGAUCCGCAGCAGGUCUUCGGGGCGGGCGAGGCUGAGCUUCGGAAUGUUAAACCAAUCCUGAGGGGGGCGCGCUUCCGUUCGCGGCUUCUGUUGCCUUAUUUUCAACCGCCUUCCCUUCAGGCUUCCUUGUUUUUGUGCGUCUGUGAAGUGCGCCUGAAAGUGCCUCUCCCCACCCCCGCCAGCCCGCCGCCUCCAUUCUCUGGCUCCAGUCAGUCUCCUCUCCCUGCUAGUCACAGUGAAGGCUUUACUCAGACGUGGGGCGGCCAGAAGCCGCACGGCUGGCUGCAUGUUAGAUUUACAGCUUGUGGACUCCCCAGAGGCAGAGACCACAAAAGAACAGCGUUGGUUGGGUUCCAGCCUAUUCCAGCGUGGUGGUUCCAGAGACCACAAAAGAACAGCGUUGGGUUCCAGCGUUGGGGUCCACAUUUCAAACAUGUUAGAAAUCUAUCCGAGAGUCCCGGCACUUUAGCUGAGCUCAUCGCUAGCUUUUUUGGCUGCCGCAAACUCGGCGGUCCCGUCGCGAGGUUUUUUGUUGUUGUUGUAAACAAAAAACCGUUUCUGUACCUCAGUAUGCAGGCUCCUUAGCGUGACCUCAAAUCUUUUACUCAAAUCUGAGGGAAAAUGUAGCCCAAGGAAAUUUGUUGUGGCGCAACACAGGAAGCAGAACAAUCACUACAUGAGAUUGUGUCGGUCCAAAAUUCACGUUUGAGACCGACAGGGCCCUUGCUGGCUACCGGGCAGCAGCAUCCUCAGUCGAGAAAAUCCCCCCCCCGCGCCCCGCUUCCAGUAUGGCGAGGUUCUGUUGCUACGCGACGACAAAGUUAGCUACAUUGGGUGGAGCACUGGGUUUAGUGAAAGAGUUGAGUAACUUCUGAGUCACGUGGAAGUUGGGAAUUUCCAGGGGCCAGUGUUUUCAGUCCUCUUAUUGAAUGGCCAUUUUAAACAUUGAUAUCGUCUCUUUACUAUUAAUAACAUCUGACAGUAGUGGCUUAGAAGUGGCCAAAAGGGAGUUACCUGAGUCUUAAGCAGUCAGGUAUAAUAAUUACAGAACCUGAGGACUACCUAAGGGAAUGAUUAGGGGCGUACACGUUACAGUCAAAUUGUCUAGGUUCAAAUCCUGGCACCAUACUUUAUGUGCUUCUUAAUGAGGUGAUUCUGUGCCUCAGUUUCUUCACCUCUUAAUAUGGGAUUGGAGAAUUAAAUGAGAACUGGUGAGAGGCAGCUGGAACAGAGCUAGGUAUCUAGGAAGCACUCAGUAGUUAUUUUAUAUAUGCAAGUGUAUUCACCAUUCCCUAAUGGAUUUAAGGGAAUGUAUCACCUUCAGUUUCACCCCUUGAUUUAUCUCCCACCCCCCAAAAAAGCACAUAUAUUUUAAAAAGAUGCUGUGAUCUGUAAGAUCCCACACAAUAUAAACCAUAAAUAGCAGAAAAUGUAGAGCCUCACAUAUGAUUAAUAAUACAUAUUUCACUCCUAAAAUUUUUUAAAAUUACAUAAGUUAACCCCAAGGAAUUUACAAAGGGGAAGAGAGAACUCAUGAUUUUGUGAUAAAGGUGUUACUCACCUCACCAAGCUGCAGGUCUCAGUCUGUACAUUUAUUUCUCCCUUUACUCAUCCAUUGGCAUCAGUUAAUCUCAAAGAAAAAGCAGAAUGAUUUGUCCUGACACUAGAAGCACAGUGCAGACUCUGCAUAUUCUUUAUACCUCCCGGCAUAAGGGCGAGUUGUUUUUAUGAGUCUCUAAAAUCAGCAGCUCCCAAAUCCUUUUACCGUUACAACCUAAGCUUAGAGCUGUGUUUUUCCUGGCUGCAGAAAGGAAAACAACAUUUUGCCUUGCAAAUGUUCUGACUUGCUUAUUAUGUGAACUGGUAUCUUAAAAUGGGAUUGUUUGGCCAGAUUUUCAAAGAACUUCAGAACAUAUACUCAGAAAAACCCGUAUUUCAGAAAUGUGCAUUUGUUGAUCUACAUCUCUGGCUUUCAUGCAUUAUUAGAACUGAAUUAUCUCCCUGUACAGAAGUUUGUAUUUUACUUAACCUUUUCACAUAACAAACUGGAAAUCCAGUUUCCUCUCGGCUUCAUGUCAGAGAUCUGGAAUAUAGCCCCCAUACUUUUAAUUGUACCUUUAGAUAAAGCAUAGCGUACAUUUCAAUGUCUUAAGUGACUUCAAAUCUAUUAGCCUGUGAAGACUUUGGUGUUUCUGACACAGGACAUUGUAUGUUUCGUAUGAAACUUUUCAGGCAGGAAAAAAUACUGGCCCAGUGAGCCAGGAAGCAAAGACUCCUUACCCUGCCAUAGAGAACAAUUUAAGCAGUAGACUCCAAUAAUAAUAGUAAUUAAUAUCAACUUAAGUCAGGCUUUCCUUGUGUUUUAAAAUUUCUUCAAUACCCAAGGCUACUGUUGGCUACUUUGUUACUCAUCAGGGAGUGGUAAAAUGCUUCGUUCUUGUCUGUAAUUAUUGUUGGUGGGAUGAUGAUAUAGACCUAAAAUCUUUAUGAGGUUUUACAAAAAAAUUUUUUUUAUUCUUAUUCUUGUCUAAUGGCAAGAAAAGAAUAGUAAAUAGUCUCUCAGUCUCUCUCUCUACCUAUACAAAAAAGCACAAACACACGUACUUUUUAGCCAUAAUUAAAAUGUUCAUUUUAAUUUUUAAAUU
rnacentral:lncRNA from 1 species